GAUGAACGCUGGCGGCGUGCCUAAUACAUGCAAGUCGAGCGAACAGACGAGGAUCUUGCUCCUCUGACGUUAGCGGCGGACGGGGGAGUAACACGUAGAUAACCUACCUAUAAGACUGGGAUAACUUCGGGAAACCGGAGCUAAUACCGGAUAAUAUAUUGAACCGCAUGGUUCAAUAGUGAAAGACGGUUUUGCUGUCACUUAUAGAUGGAUCCGCGCCGCAUUAGCUAGUUGGUAAGGUAACGGUUUACCAAGGCAACGAUGCGUAGCCGACCUGAGAGGGUGAUCGGCCACACUGGAACUGAGACACGGUCCAGACUCCUACGGGAGGCAGCAGUAGGGAAUCUUCCGCAAUGGGCGAAAGCCUGACGGAGCAACGCCGCGUGAGUGAUGAAGGUCUUCGGAUCGUAAAACUCUGUUAUUAGGGAAGAACAAAUGUGUAAGUAACUAUGCACGUCUUGACGGUACCUAAUCAGAAAGCCACGGCUAACUACGUG
rnacentral:rRNA from 1 species